rnacentral:rRNA from 1 species
AUUGAACGCUGGCGGCAGGCCUAACACAUGCAAGUCGAACGAGUGGCGGACGGGUGAGUAAUGUCUGGGAAACUGCCUGAUGGAGGGGGCUAACUACUGGAAACGGUAGCUAAUACCGCAUACCAUCGGAUGUGCCCAGAUGGGAUUAGCUAGUAGGUGGGGUAAAGGCUCACCUAGGCGACGAUCCCUAGCUGGUCUGAGAGGAUGACCAGGCACCAUGGAACGGAACCAAGGGCCAGACUCCUACGGGAGGGCGCAGUGGGGAAUAUUGCACAAUGGGCGCAAGCCUGAUGCAGCCAUGCCGCGGGUAUGAAGAAGGCCUUCGGGUUGUAAAGUACUUUCAGCGGGGAGGCGUUACCCGCAGAAGAAGCACCGGCCAACUCCGUGCCAGCAGCCGCGGUAAUUC